UGAAAGAGGAACUUCAGAUUCCUUUUCAAAGACCCGGGACCUUUGGCGCACUCGCAGACACCUGGACGAACCUGCAACUAACAUUUAAACUCCACAACUUUAUUUUUAAGACGCCACAUCUGCAUUCUUUUCUUCUGGUGUGGCCUCCUUCCUUUCAUCUCUCUCCUCUCCUAUUCUCCUUCCACUUAGCACUCCCUCUCUUUACAGUCCAUUUUCUCCCUUCCUACCACUCCCUUCUCUACGAUGGCAACUUCUAUCCCUCCUCCCCAACCGAGAGGCAUCGACUUCAGCCUGCCGACCUGCGGAGGAACUCUGUGCAAUGACCACGGUACCUGUGUGCCUCCUCUGGGUGGUGGCACUGAGAUGGUGUGCGAGUGUACGCUGGGCUACCAGGGAGAAUUCUGCGACGAAACAGUCAACGGGGCGCUAAGUAUACCGCUGACCCUGACUGUGCUGGCCGUCAUCAUCGGGACGCUGAUUGUGGCUUUCAUUGUUGCCAAGAUGAGGCAAAAGCAAAAGAAAAGACACAGGAAACUUAUGGCACAAAAAGAGGGAUACAACAUCGCUGUGUAAUGUGGAUAAAUCUCCAUUGUACCUGAGGUUAACCAUGACAUUGUGGCCAGUGACACUCCAGCAGCAUUCUUCUGCAGCUUCUGCUUAUAGCACAGUUUGUUGAAUUUUGUAAAAAGGAAAUUACAUCUACUACUCUUGAUGGCUGACUUGUGGAUACUCCUCUUUGACUGAACUCAAACACUGAACUGAAUGGAGCUUUAACAGGAUUAAGAGUGACACAACUUCACUGCAGUAAUUGUGUUUUUCAUGUAUCAAUUCAUGAUGGAAAAACUGCACAGUAUAUCCCCAAACACAUGAUUAAUUCAGGACAUGUAUCACAGAGCUUUCAAGCUGAUAAUUUAGACAGGAAAUAGAUGCCUGACUUGCAGUAUGUUUACAGGCAUGGGUAUAACACUGGUAUUUUGUUAAGCUGUCUUCACUAGAGUGUUUACCUCACGAACACAGCCAAGGCUUCAAGCUGUUGUUGAAACAAGACAUUUGCUGUUUUUCAUCUCUACAGCAGCAUACAUUUAGGGAUAACACCUUUGUGUCCAUAAUUCCGUAUAGUAUACAGUGUACGCACCAAGUGUUUAAUGCAAAGAAAUGCAUCUCUUUACGGAUGGAUAAAAACAGGACCGCAUAAACAGCAGAAAAGUAAAUUCUGACUGUUUUUCACCAUCCAGUCUUGUGGAGUAUGCAGAUGGAGCAGUACAGAGACAAAACAGGACCAUUUAUACAUGGCGACUAAUAAGAGAGGAGGUUGGUCUGUCAGGUGUGUAGCCAGUUUUAGUUUGUGAGAAGAUACUGUAUGAACCACUAUGAAUGCACUCUAUAAGCAGGGCUUGACGCUAACUUUUUUCCCAAGGAGCACAUGUGCUCUUAAGUUCAAAAAGUAAGGAACGCACAAAAAACUUUAGGGGCACAAUGUAAAUUGAUCAAAUAAUGCGUUUUCCGUAAUAAACGUGAUGCAAGUAGACAUUUUCAAGCAAAAUUAUUUAAUGAAUUUGUAUACAAAAUGUACAGAAAGGUAAAAUCAUCAAGUUUUGAAAAAGUAUUGCAAUUUAAUUUUGUCUUUAAUGUUAUUAUCUUAUAUAUAUUAUCUUUGCAAUAUGAUUUCACACAGAGCUUUCGCGGCGCCCACCGCGGGGUAGGGCGCAGAGGACAGGAUUUGGGGGAGUACAGGCUCGUUCAGGAGCUACAGCUCCAUGGUGACCACUUCCGGGUCUACUUCAGGCUCUUCUCUGCUAUUGGACGCGCGGUGCCAAGGUGUCGUCACAGCGCGUUGCGGUGAAAUUAAAAAAAUUUCAAUUCAAGUGCAGGCUGGCGGCGCGCGCCGCUCAGCUCGGCAGCAGAGCGGUGCGCUCUUCCGCCGUGGUAGCACAUACACAAUGAAUGGGUUCGUCGGCGGAGGUCUGCGCUUUGCGCGCUCUGUGUAAAAAGGGCUUUAUUUCCACCCUGCCCAGCAGCGGUAUCGUGGCGAACGGUCCCUAAAGGCCUCUACACAUGAUCAGCUGUAAAACCGCUUUGCGCUGGCUGUCCUAUUGUUUGUCUAUGGAGAGGGCAGCAACGCCUGACAAAGCACCACCGCUACCCUUGGCAUCGCGCACGAUAUUCAUUGUGCCAACAGUGGCUUGGAAAACCGCCCAUAACCGUGUCACACGGGGAAGAGAGAAGGCGGCUGGAGUUCCUCCAACAGUUGCGGUUAGAUUAUCAUAUUUUUUUUAUUGACAAAAAUAUAGGCUGCUUUGGCUGAUUUUUUUUAUGCGCACAUGUGCCCCUAAAUAUUUUUUACAGUUCGCACACACCUAUUUUUAGUCGCAAAUGCGAGUGAAAUGCUCGUACUGUCAAGCCCUGAUAAGUGUUACACAGCUUGGAUACUACCAAUGUUAGCUAGUUUAACAUGCUGUCAAACUUUGUACCUGGAAAAAAAUGUAUUACAUUUGUUAAUCUGUUAGCUAGUUUGUUUUUCUUUUGGCAUAGUGCACACGAUUCAUCUGAAAUCUGCCACAAAAUUUCAUGCCUCGUUUCCAUUUUCGUAUGUGACUGGUGUCUAUAGAUCCGUAAAUAUACAGAUGAUGUUCUAGUGUGCACUGCAAGGAAGUGCAUUUCUUUAUGGAUGGAUAGAAACCUGAUAGAAACUACUUGUAGCCAUAGGGAGAAGUUUUGAAUAUGUGCUUAAAACAUUAUCGGGACAAACGAGCCAUAAUAAUGAUCUGACCGUAUAUAAUGUAUAACUAACAUUUAGCAGAAUAACAUUACUCAGAUUCACAAUGUGUUCAAACUAGAUAAACAAGUUCUUUGUAUCAUAAAAAUUCAUUUGACAAUCCACAGGCAACUGAAUUGAAGAAAAUAGCCUGUUAGCUAGUUAGCCCGCUGUCAUACGGUCUCUCCGAAAUCCACCGUAAAUGAUAUAUUGUUUAAUGUACUUGAGGCAAAUUCUGGGGUAGGAGUUUUGCAGGCACAUCACGGAGAUUCCCGUAGGAAUAAAUAAAUUUCCGGUUGCCUUGUCUCCGUACACACAUACGUAAUGUGGGAUUUAUACGUCUGCGUCGAAUCAACUAUGCCGUAGGCUGUGCAUGGAAACGAGGCAUCAGUGUAUUUUAAUGUACUUUCAGGACCAGAAAAAAAAACACAAAAGGAAGAGUUUUGCAAGCAUAUCAGAGAUUACAAAGGUUUGUAACAGAAACGUAACUUCAAUUAUUAUUGGAAAAAAAGAGGACAUUUUUCAUUGAAAAUUGAUACGUGAAAAACAAUAAUUUAGGAAUGAGGUUUUGUCACUUCAGUUAUUUUCUUAUUAGUGCAAUAAUAAUGUUCUAGAUUUCCUUUUUAGUGCUCUGUACCCAUUACCAGCUUUUUUAUAUUUUUUACUUUAAUACGUUCGUCGUGUUAUUUAUAGAAUUUUGAUGCGUUAUUGUGGCUACCUAUAGAAUAUUAAAUAAUUGUACAAGACGUAGAUGCAACCAUUUUGUUAUUGUGGGCAUAAUCUUUGACUUCUUACGUACUGAAUUUGUCACUCUGCAAGAAAUGAACAGACUUUAAUGGAUUAAAUGAUCACGUUCGCAGUUUGAGUGCCCAGUGAGAAAUGUCUUGAUCUGUCUGUACUGCACCUCUACUUCCUUGAUCACAUUUCCCAUAUGCAGAAGCUCAUUUUCAUAGAUGAGCUGAUUGUGUCCUUUAUCACCGGCUACCUUUGCACAGUGAUGCAAAUGUUCACCUAUCACUACUCUCUUUGAUGAAACAAUAGCUUCCUUUUAAAUACAGAGAAAGCACUGGUGACUGCUGCAGUGAUGGUGAUUCUUACUGCCGUGUUUUUGUACACAACACCGAAGGAAUGUGUUUAUACAGGUGUUGAAAACCAAAAAUGGUUUCCAUAUCACGAGGGGUAAGCCAGGGAUUUUAACCAGAUUUGAUCUGUCAUUACCUUUUGAUGAAGACUUUAGUCUUUAAUCCGUCCUUAGUUACUUUGAAGAGUGUAGCCAGUGUUAAGUGCUUUUAUGUGCUGUAUUGUCUGUUUAUUUUGUACACUACUGACUGAAUUACUAUGCUGUGUAUGCCUGUACUCUAUUGAUAGCAAAAUAUAUAUAGCCUAUGAAUAUAUAUAUGAUCUUGUCUUUCUCUCUGUAUUUGUGUUGCUGGAUUACACAGUAAUUCAUGUAGUCAGACUGCAUAUAACCACUGAACAUUGAUUGUGGAGGAGAUUUUGAUGACUGUCGUAUCAUCUGCAAACAAUCUUAAUCCUCUGGCAUUUAUGAGGCUGUAGAAUAAAAACUGUGUACCCAGGUGUGUGUGUUGGGUACACUGAGCAUGUACAUUUUUGUAUACACCGUGUUCCAAAUUAUUAUGCAAAUUGUAUUUAAGUGUCAUAAAGAUUAAAUUUUUUGUUUUUCAAUUAAACUCAUGGAUGGUAUUGUGUC